rnacentral:rRNA from 1 species
UACGGGGGGAGCAAGCGUUGUUCGGAUUUACUGGGCGUAAAGGGCGCGUAGGCGGCCAGCACAAGUCAGUUGUGAAAUCUCCGAGCUUAACUCGGAAAGGUCAACUGAUACUGUGCGGCUAGAGUGCAGAAGGGGCAACUGGAAUUCUCGGUGUAGCGGUGAAAUGCGUAGAUAUUCGCAAGAACACCAGUGGCGAAGGCGGCUCACUGGCCCGAUACUGACGCUGAGGUGCGAAAGCGUGGGGAGCAAACAGG